rnacentral:rRNA from 1 species
GACGAACGCUGGCGGCGUGCUUAACACAUGCAAGUCGAACGGAAAGGCCCUGCUUUUGUGUGGUGCUCGAGUGGCGAACGGGUGAGUAACACGUGAGUAACCUGCCCUUGACUUUGUGAUAACUUCAGGAAACUGGGGCUAAUGCCGGCUAGCAGCUCCUGCUGCAUGGGGGGGGUUGGACCGUUUCGGCGGUUGGGGAUGGACUCGCGGCUUAUCAGCUUGUUGGGUGGGUAGUUGCUUACCAAGGCUUUGACGGGUAGCCGGCCUGAGAGGGUGACCGGCCACAUUGGGACUGAGAGACGGACCAGACGCCUACGGGAGGCAGCAGGGGGGAAUAUUGCACAAUGGGCGGAAGCCUGAUGCAGCAACGCCGCGUGCGGGAUGACGGCCUUCGGGUUGUAAACCGCUGUCGCCUGUGACGAAGCGGGAGUGACGGUAAUGGGUGAAGAAGCACCGGCUAACUACGUG